CCAGGCCUUGAACCCAUGUUCCCUGCAUUGACAGGGAGAUUCUCAACCACUGUGCCAGCAGGGGAAGCCGUCUUCUCAUAUAUGUUUAUAUGUUGGUUAUAUUUGACACUUAAAUGAUUCUUUGGUAAUGUUAGAAUGUAUUUGUAUUGACCAGGACUUGAGUUUUUCCUUUGAGAAGGGCACUUAAUAAUCCUUUGCUUCACUUUUCCCAGAAGAUUCCUCUCUCUGUGGGAGAAGUGGCAUUCAGUUUCAUCAGGCUUGCCACUGCUGGUACACAGCUAACACCACUUCUAAUGCAGGAGGCAUUGCACUUUCUGCCAUAUAACAUUACAACAACCCCUGAGAUCAAGAGUAUUGUAAUUCCAUUUUAAUCAUGGGAAAAUGGAGGCUUAAAAAGGCAGACAACUUGUCCAAGGGUACCCAGCUGGGAACUGGAAACUAGGACUCAAAUCCAAAGAGUUUAGCUCUCGAUUCCUUGCUCUUCCACUUUCCCUGUCUUGCCUCCCUGAGGAACGUGACACGUUUUACAAAUGUGUAGGUGUGAUAGGUGUAUAAAAAUCUUAGUUUUGUCACAGAAGUCUCUGUGGCCUUAGUAGAGAUUCUUAGCUUAUCUUCCUGUCACAUCUGAUGCUUUUAACAGGUUUGUCCCUGAAACGUGUGUGUAAAGUGAAAGGUGGUAACCCUCGGUCAUCCCAUGGCGUUAGGAGCUGCACACUGCACUGGUCGUUGGCCACACAGCUACACGCCAAGAGGCUUCUACACAGAAAGAACUGAGGCCCUAGUGCGUGAGACGGAUGCCGACAGUGUGUGGUGUGGAUGGUGGGGCAAGGCCGGAGGAGCACGAGCGCCACUCACCAGGAAGAUGUAAGGAGGCUCAGAGAACGUGUGUGGGAGAACGGGGUGGCAAGUGUACUGGAGAAGGUGCACGUGCACAGCAUGUGAGUCUAGUGCCCGAGCAGCAGCGUGCCCCUGGGAGAGGUGGGCAGGAACCAUGUCCUGCAGAACCCUACCCACCAGGAGAGCUUCUCCAACUUGCCUGGGCUCCCCGCUCCCAUGUUUCCCAUUCAGCAGGUCUGCGCAGGGGCCCUGAGAACAUCUCAGACAAGUUCCCAGUGUUGCUGCUGCUGCCAGGCUGGGACCCACACCUUGAGAAGCACUGCCUGGAGGGACCACCCAUGGGUGAAGGACAGGGCCGUGCCGAGCCAAGCCAGCUCGCGUCCUGCUCCCAGCUCCGCAUCCAAGAUGCAGACCAGGUGAUGUGCUGCUCCUUCUUCAGCUGAGUGCUCCUGAGCGUGACCCAUUGAAACGGAAGGAGAACCGCGCAGCAGAAAGACGUCGGCAGGCACUCCCCAAUGUCCCCAGCGCCCGGAGAGACCCACAGCACCCGUGGACACUGAAGGUUCUUGUUAGUCCCUGCAGUAAAGGGACCUUGAGAGUCGUUUAAGGUAGGCUUCCUGAACUGACAUGACCAUGUAAUUCAAGCUGCUAGUGAUAUCCUUCUGGAUCUUUCUUUGAGGAAAGCAGCAGAGAACAUGCCUCUUAUACAGCUUUGUUUUGUUUUGCAAUGUUUAUUUGAAAAGCCCUUUGUCAGAAUGUGGAGGUGAGAGCUGCUUGCUCCAUCUCUGAAAGGCCCGUGGUGGCCCUGGCAGUCUCGUCCUCCCCCCUGGCCCGGGCAUCCCCACGCCUCCUGCCAACACAGAACCGCGCACAGAGAACAGGCACACGAGGGGAGCAACAUGUUCUUUUAUUGAUGCAAGUACGUCCAGUCACACCAACAGUUGACAUCCUUUAUUAUUAUAAAGUACAGCUCUAUACGCAGAGUUCAUCUCGAAAUACCAAAACAUCAUAGGGUAUGUAUCAAAUUGGGAAAAUAAAGUAGCAAAUGUAGCACUGUGUCAGGUCGGUACUAGAACUGAUGACCAAGUGAAGCGCACACUGAUGUGAAAGCUCCUUAACACAUGGACAGAAAAGGUUCUAACAUUGUAUUCCAAAUAUAUAUUCUCAAGUUUUAAACCUUUCUUUAUCUCAAAUACAUAAAGCAAUAUGUACUGUCAAUAUACAAUAUGUACUAUCUAGAACGUCUGGAAAGUGCAAAAACACUGUGACAAUACAGUGUAAAUAUCCUUGCUCCACCCUGGGCUGAGGGCGACAUCAGCAGCGGAUCAUGGAGCCACCUCCCCCUGAGGCCUCGCCUUCACAUCUCCAGGCUCUCCUAGGAGUUUUGGGAAUUAGCAACUAACUAACUGUCCUUACCCAGGCCUGCCAGCUGGAGGCUCCGGCGGAAGCCAGCCAUGUGGAGAGAAACAGGGUGAGUAGUUCCAAAUCUGCUUGGAUGGAAUGACAGCCCCGCCAUGAGGGAGAUAGAGUCAGCAUGGAUUGCCCACUUCUGGCCUUGGAGGGAGCAGGGCUGUCACUGUCCCAUGGCCGGGAAGUCAGAAAAUGGAGAGUACUCCUCGAGUUCGGGUGUGGAAAAUACCUCCAAAUGUUGGGCAGCUUUACGUGAGUGGGCUCCAGCAGGUACUGGCCUGGCUAACCUUCCAUGUUUCACAUUCUGUUAGGGGAGCCCAAUCCCCCACCCAGAGGGAAGGAGGAUACUGAUUUGUAAGUUGCUUCUUUUGACUUUGUACUUGAGUUUCAAGAUGGCUUUAUACGUCCCCAUCCUUAAUUGUACUUUGUAUUCGCUUCAUUACAGCUAAGUAAGUGUGUCAAAGUUACAGCCUGGAAAAUGGACAAUUCCAUGACUCCCUCCUUACGUUAUUUUAGAUUUUCUCUUUUCCUAAAAUGUAGGUGAAGAACAAUUUGCCAGACAUCUUCCAACAGAAAAUAUGCUGCCAGGUGUCCCCCUGCCCUCCCCCCAACCCCCAUAAAUCCCUGAUAAAGGAAAAUGAAAAUGUAAACUUUGGAAAGCCCGUAUUCAAGGUUCACUUCUGGAAGUACGCAAAUGAGACCUCCGGGCCACCCGAGCCCUUCUUGCCAGAACCUUGUGGGCCUGCGCUUUGAGGGCAGAGCUUCCCCGGUGCCUCCAGUGGCACUGGCUGCAGGCGAGAACGGGCCCGCCAGAACCCUCUAAGGCACUCACCCCGACAUCAGAGACACUGGCUGGAAAGGAGGCAGGGCUCACGUUGGUUUUGGUUGGGUUUUUUUAAGUAUUUUUUUUGUAAGAUGUUUGUUAAUAAUCAAAAGUAGAAAAUAAAAAUCUACAUUUCAUUAGAAUAAGAUGUUAUCAUGGAUGCCAUCUCCCAUGAUACUCUUUCCCCACCCCUCCCCAAAGCAGGGCCCUGCCCUGUCAUAAACAAAAAGCUUUAAGUGCCAAAGGUUGAUGCAUGAAAUAAUUACUUCUUUUUUUUUCAUAAAAGUUAGUUAUGUACAAAAUGGACCCCAACCAGUGAGGCCUCAUCUCAGCCCAUUAUCACUCAAGAUUAAAACUCAGUACGUAGGUGUGCUUAAUCCCAGCGUCUGCAGGCUGCAUCCAUGCCUUCAAGCUCUGUUAAGGAGAGUGGUCCUACAGACUCUGGUAUGGGGCUGGUCUUGGGGGCUCACCGGACUGCUGCUGGAGUUCUCCUACCUGAGGGUCUUCCAGCUGUCCUUUUCCAUGUGGUUCUCGGGACCUUCACUUUCGAAGGAGGCGAUGAAGAGAGCUGAGAGACGAGAAGCCCCGCAGAAGCCAUGUCCACACCCGGUCAGUCUGCCUCCCACCCCAGUUAUCCCUUCUCAAACUCUCCCUCCCAGGGUGGAGCGAGGCCCGGGAACGAACUCCUAAACCAAGGGGGCAGCAACUUCGGGCCUCGGCUGGUCCACAGGCCUCUGCUGCAUGGGGUUCCUGGCAACCUGCCUGGGGACUCAGACGUUUCCUGGUUCUGCAGCACUGGCCCAACCACGUACUGGCGCUCUCAAGUGGCCUCGGGAGCCUGAUCUUUUCUUGUCCUUAUCCUUCACCUGCCAUCCACCCAUGGCCCACCCUCAUGCACUCACCCCUGCGAGCUGAGCUUCCCCAGCGUAGCAUGGGAAUAACAACCCUGGGAGGGCACCCUGCACGAGUCAGGGUGACCUCUACAGUGUGCAGAGGUGGACCUCACCUUCCUCGCUGUAGAUGGGAGCCGUCAGCAGGUAACUCUGAAUCUUCUUGUCCUUCUCGAAGGGACACUCUACCUGUGUCCAUGUCAUGAACUCAUGGAUCUGUCUGGAGAUGUCCCAAAAUUUCUGAAGGGGCAGAAGACCAACUGGAUGUUCAUUUGUCACCUUAAGCUUGAAAACCCUGGUUAGGGUGGGGGACGUAGGCUCUGGCUUUGGUCGGCUGAUCAGUCCCCUGGUCCCAGAGAGACUGGACGGUGGCCCUACAAAGCUGACUCCGUAGCCGUGGAAGCACUCUGUACAACAGGGCCAGCCGGUGUCUCCAAGGCCAUUCAGUCCUGCCCUCCGCCUGAGCCACCGGGCUGCAGCCAGGUCUGUGCUUCUGCUGUGCACGACCCCCAAGAAGCCCCUCAUCUGUCACUCCAGGCUGAGGCAGGCGUCCCAGCCACACCCAGCACAGCACCACCACCCAGAACACCCCAGGAUCUCACUCUGGGGCCCUCGGGCUCCUAGCACUGUAACCAGAUCAUUCACUCAGAACUGGGGCCACCCUCAUACCUUGAGGUCACGGCACCCAUGACCCACCCUGGAGCCUUCAGUCCUAAAAGGCCCUUCUGCCACAGGGCCUCGGCCUGGCAGCUCUCAUGGCACAGAUGGAUUCUGCCUGUCCUAAAGCAAGGCCAGGAAGUCUGCCCUACCCUGUGCUGGGACAGCCUGGCCCCCUCCCCUCGGACCACAAGGGGGCUGAGCUGACCUUGAAGUUAAUGUGUCCAUUGGGC